rnacentral:rRNA from 1 species
UACGUAGGGUGCGAGCGUUGUCCGGAAUUAUUGGGCGUAAAGAGCUUGUAGGUGGUUUGUCGCGUCUGCUGUGAAAAUCCGAGGCUCAACCUCGGACUUGCAGUGGGUACGGGCAGACUAGAGUGUGGUAGGGGAGACUGGAAUUCCUGGUGUAGCGGUGGAAUGCGCAGAUAUCAGGAGGAACACCGAUGGCGAAGGCAGGUCUCUGGGCCAUUACUGACACUGAGAAGCGAAAGCCAUGGGGAGCGAACAGGA